rnacentral:rRNA from 1 species
UACCGCAUGAGCCUCGCAUGGGGAGACCGGGAAAGGUGGCCUCUUAACAAUGCCAUCGCGCGAGGAUGAGCCCGCGGGCCAUUAGCUAGUUGGUGGGGUAACGGCCCACCAAGGCGACGAUGGCUAGCGGGUCUGAGAGGAUGAUCCGCCACAUUGGGACUGAGACACGGCCCAGACUCCUACGGGAGGCAGCAGUGGGGAAUAUUGGGCAAUGGCCGAAAGGCUGACCCAGCGACGCCGCGUGCGGGAGGAAGCCCUUCGGGUCGUAAACCGCUGUCAGGGGGGAAGAACCGCGAGGAGUCGAAUAGGCUUCUCGUCUGACGGUACCCCCAGAGGAAGCACCGGCUAACUCCGUGCCAGCAGCCGCGGUAAUACGGAGGGUGCAAGCGUUGUUCGGAAUCACUGGGCGUAAA